rnacentral:misc_RNA from 1 species
UUUCCGUAGGUGAACCUGCGGAAGGAUCAUUUAAGUUAUAGUCCCCCGGCCCCUCCGGGCUGGGGUCUUCUAUACCACCCUUUGUUUAUUACACCUUUGUUGCUUUGGCAGGCCUGCCCUCGGGCUGCUGGCUCCGGCCGGCUCGUGCCUGCCAGAGGACCUAAACUCUGUUUGUAUAUGAAGUUUGAGUACUAUAUAAUAGUUAAAACUUUCAACAACGGAUCUCUUGGUUCUG